rnacentral:rRNA from 1 species
GACGAACGCUGGCGGCGUGCCUAAUACAUGCAAGUAGAACGCUGAAGAGAGGAGCUUGCUCUUCUUGGAUGAGUUGCGAACGGGUGAGUAACGCGUAGGUAACCUGCCUUGUAGCGGGGAUAACUAUUGGAAACGAUAGCUAAUACCGCAUAACAAUGGAUGACACAUGUCAUUUAUUUGAAAGGGGCAAUUGCUCCACUACAAGAUGGACCUGCGUUUUAUUAGCUAGUAGGUGAGGUAAUGGCUCACCUAGGCGACGAUACAUAGCCGACCUGAGAGGGUGAUCGGCCACACUGGGACUGAGACACGGCCCAGACUCCUACGGGAGGCAGCAGUAGGGAAUCUUCGGCAAUGGGGGCAACCCUGACCGAGCAACGCCGCGUGAGUGAAGAAGGGUUUCGGAUCGUAAAGCUCUGUUGUAAGUCAAGAACGGGUGUGAGAGUGGAAAGUUCACACUGUGACGGUAGCUUACCAGAAAGGGACGGCUAACUACGUG